GACGAACGCUGGCGGCGUGCUUAACACAUGCAAGUCGAACGGAAAGGCCUCUUUCGGGGGGUACUCGAGUGGCGAACGGGUGAGUAACACGUGAGUAACCUGCCCUUGACUUUGGGAUAACUUCAGGAAACUGGGGCUAAUACCGGAUAGGAGCUCCUGCUGCAUGGUGGGGGUUGGAAAGUUUCGGCGGUUGGGGAUGGACUCGCGGCUUAUCAGCUUGUUGGUGGGGUAGUGGCUUACCAAGGCUUUGACGGGUAGCCGGCCUGAGAGGGUGACCGGCCACAUUGGGACUGAGAUACGGCCCAGACUCCGACGGGAGGCAGCAGGGGGGAAUAUUGCACAAUGGGUGGAAGCCUGAUGCAGCAACGCCGUGUGCGGGAGGACGGCCUUCGGGUUGGAAACCGCUUUCGCUCAUGACGAAGCUUUGUGUGACGGUAGUGGGUAAAGAAGCACCGGCUAACUACGUG
rnacentral:rRNA from 1 species